rnacentral:rRNA from 1 species
GUCUAUUUGAAGCUAUAAAAAGUCUAACCUGCCCACUGAUUAAAAAUUUUAAGGGCCGCGGUAUUAUGACCGUGCAAAGGUAGCAAAAUCAUUAGGUUUUUAAAUGGAAUCUUGUAUGAAUGGUUGGACAAAGAAAAAGCUGUCUUUAUUUUAAAAUUUGAAUUUUACUUUUAAGUGAGAAGGCUUAAAUAUUUUAGAGGGACGAUAAGACCCUAUAAAGCUUUACAUUGUAAUAUAUAUUUGAUUAAAUUUAAAAAUAAAAGUUUAAUAUAAUUGUUUGUUUUAUUGGGGAGAUAAAAGUAUAAAUGAUAUUAGCUGCUUUUAAUAAAGACAUUUAUUUAUGGACUAAAUUAUAAUAGAUCCUUACAAAUAAAGAAUAAAAG